ACACGGGCCUUGAUCCAAAGUCCACAGAAGUCAAUGGGAAUCUUUCAUUGACUUCAGUGAGCUUUGGAUCAGGUCCUAUGGU
rnacentral:pre_miRNA from 1 species